rnacentral:tRNA from 1 species
GGCCUGGUAGUGCAGCUGGUUAGAAUGCCAGCCUGUCACGUUGGUUGUCGAGGGUUCGAGUCCCUUACAGGUCGCCA